rnacentral:lncRNA from 1 species
GGUGAGGGGAGAAGCUAAUGUGCAAGGUUCUUGAAUAAACUGCUUGAAGAAGAGUUGUGGUCAUGUUUCUCUUGCUGGUCAAGAUAGAAGCGACAAAUGGUGGCCCAUACGGGGAACCUCCGUGGGUGAACGGCUCAGAACUUCCUGCAGUCAGGGCAGUCGAGUGGUAAGUCCCAGGAUCAAUCAGAGCCUGUGUGGGUUCCAGAAACGCUGACAAGAAGAGUCCCUGCCUCUGAGGAUGGCGAAAUCAUAACCAGACCAAUGUACCUGAUGCUGACGAUCAUGACGGUGAUGCUGAUGGGGGAUUCUGUCCGUGUUCCUGAAACCACUGCCAAUCACACAUUCUGCUCAAGUUUUCCCUAGAUUUUUUAGUAGCAAUUUAAGUUUAAAUUUACCUUUUUUGCCUUUAGAUAAGGAUAUUAGUCCUGUAGAGGGUAAUGCUAGUUUUGGCUUGCCAGGGAAUUUGUGCUUUUUUAUAGUUAGUAAUAUUAGUCAGAAUAAUGAUGGGUGCCCUGGGAGGAAUGCUUAUCCUUGUCAGUAUCAUUGCUUUAUGGUGUAUCUACAGGAUGAGGGUUUCACAGAGGAGAAGUAAUGCCAUUAUUGCACAAGCCUUCGAAGCCCUGAAGGCAGGGCAGUCUCCUCAGGCUUGGUUAAUGGUACUCAAAAGCUAAGUAAUUACUUCCUCCCCACAGGUUUCUAGACAUAGUACUGCACAUGAAGUGUGAACUUCAUGAAGGGCAAGUCUGAUUGCAUAUGGGUUGGUAUCAUAAUCCCAUCUCUGACAAAAGAUACCGGACUGGUGUGGCACCAGCUUGGCUGAUACCUAGGCAUGGGGCCAUUACAUUGUCCCUUGUUUUCAGAGAUCAGACCCCUACCCUUACCUGUUGUGCUAUAAAAUAAAAAAGGGGGAACUGUGAAGAGCCACAGCCCUAAGAUGGCACCUGGCUGGAUGCCAGGUAGUCCAAGCUUAGCUGUAAACAAGCCUUAUUUGGAAGUGCUUGAGGCAUCUGGUGCGCUUCCUCCUUCUGUGGCCUAUCCGGGAUUGCCAGAUGGCAAGAGCUGAUUGGGCACUGAGCAUCUACUUAAGCGCUUUCGGUGGCUGGGUGAGGGGAGAAGCUAAUGUGCAAGGUUCCUGAAUAAACUGCUUGAAGAAGAGUCGUGGUCAUGUUUCUCUUGCUGGUCAAGAUAGACACGACAUUUAUUUAUUUAUUUAUUUGGUUUUUCUUCGAGACAUGAUUCUUCUUUGUAGCCCUGGCUGUCCUAAUACCUUGUAAACCAGGCUGGUCUCAAACUCACAGAUAUCUGUUUGCCUUUGCCUCCCACGUGCUGGGAUUAAAAGCAUGAGUCACCACCUUGUGACUUAAUUACUGAUUUUUAAUUUAGUAUGGGAUUCUUUAGAAAUAUCAGUAGUAUUCCUUGGCAGCAUUUGAUAUAGAGAUUAUUGUCUUGAGACUUAAAAUCCAUAAAAUUUGAGCCAACUAAUACUUGAUCUUUCUAGUUCUUUACUCCACCUUUCUUGGAUGUAUCUGUCUUCAUUGUUGAAGAAAAUCUAGAUUUUGUAAAACUCUUCAUUGUAAUUUUUUAAAGAAUUGUCUCUAUAUUGUUGAAAGGUGAUUUCAUGGCUAUUAGAAAUUUAAACAUUUCAAGGGACAAGCCUAAAGCAUGUUAAUAACCACAAAGGCAUUUUUUGGAAGAGUGUCCAUAUUAAUCAAAAUUAAUGAGCAUGACUGUUGAUGCUACCAUUUGUGGAUGCUAUUUGUCUGUGGAGAAUCAAAGUUUUAUCAAGGAAGUCAAUGUUUCCAUGUUAUCAUAUUGAAAACAUUGCUCUGUAUUCACAAAUUGAAGGCAGAGAGCUUGGUAUUUCAACUAUUCCUGAACAUAUUUUUUACAAACAUUAUACUUUUGAUCUGAUCAAAGGAAAAUUGCUAUCAUAUGUUGGAUGGAUUUCCCCCCUCUGUUUGCCUGCUAUAAGCAAAAUCCACGAUCUUAACUGGAGACUGAGCACAUGUAACUCUGAAGGUACACUUAUCAAUAGUUUAAAAAAUCUGAUAUUUUAUGUGAUGCAUACAGAUGAUUUUGAUUGAAAUCUUAAAAUCUUACAGUUUUAUAAAAAAUUUAAUUUAUUUACAUUGCACUCAAAAUAUAACACAUAACUCAGAAAAUAGUAGCUUUCCUUUUUAAUUUGUUUUAGCAAUAUUUAAAUAACAGCUCUCAUUUUCAUCAUCAAGUUAUUUAUUCACUAAUUAUCACUCAUCUCACACACUGAUUUGCGUUUUAAAAUAUUAGGUCAUGUUAGUAGGAAAAUUGGGAAUCUAUCCUAAAACUUACUGGGAAAUAGUAAGUGAGCACUGAGUCAAAUCUACACAUCCUCAAAACUUCCAGUCAAAUUGCUGUAUGAACAAGCAAAAAGAAUUCAGAGGCUCCACUGACAUUGCAUUAGUAACUUCCUUAGCUUCUGAUAUUUAGCUGAGCUAGGCAAGGUCUCUUUGAAAUGACUGAAAAAUGGAAGGCUUAUAGAGAAUUAGGUGCUGUAGGAAUGAGGAUUUCUUUAAGCAGAACUCCCACAGACAAAUAUAAAGCAAUUGAGGCAUUUCUACCAGCAUGACUCGAGAAAGUAUUCACAUUAACCAAAACUGGACAAGAGUAGAGAAAAACAAAAGUAGGCUUGGAUAGCACAUAUGACAGAAAGCUGAAAAACAGAAAUUGAAUUGUCAAGCAUUGGAAGAUGGAGCUGAAAUGCUUUGGAGAUUGUGUAAUAAAAUUUCUUGAAAGAAAUAGAGUCAUACAGGAAAGGGAAAAUUGUACCUCCUAAUAGGGAGUGCGUCCACUCACUUGAGCUAGGGUCUUCUCAUUCUUUUGACAUUAAUCUUUGUGUGUUUAUGUUGUGAGUACUAUAUAUUAGAAUAUGAAGAAUAAUCGUAGCUCAAAAGUGAGAGUUUUUUAUUCCUUUUUUAUGUUACUGGUGUUGCUUUUUGUUUGUUUAUUUUUUGCAUACAAAUCUAUUAAUGAAUAUUUACUGAGAAACUAUUUUGUACUAAAUACUGAUUUAGGCUAUGGAGCUACCAUUAUUGUUAGUGCCAAAUGCCUGGAUAUGUUAGAGCCACCUGAUUUAUGAUGUUAUUUAUGUCCAGAGUUUCUGUGUUUAAUUUUUAUCUGAAUGAACUCUCUAUUGAGAGCAAUGUGGUUCUUAAGUUAUCGACUGUCACUGUGUUGGGAUCAAUAUAUGAUUAUAGAUGUAGCAGUGUUCUUUUAUGAAGUUGGGUGCCCUUGAAUUCAAUGCAAAACUGUUUAGAAUUAUAUUAUUUUCCUUUAAUGAAUAUGUGGUGCCCUUCCCUAUUUCUUUUGAUUAGUUUUGGUUUGAGGUUUAUUUGUCAGAUAUUAAAAUAUCUUUACCUUCUGCAUCCUUCUUGGUGCCAUUUGCUUGGAAUAAAAAUUUUCUUCAUUUUACACUAGAGAGAUGCCUUUCGUUGGUGAUGAGGUGUGUUUCUUGAAUGCAGCAUAAAGUGGAUCCUAUUUUCUAAUGCCAACCCUUAGUCUAUGUUUUUUUAUUGUA